rnacentral:lncRNA from 1 species
UUUGUCAUUAACGUUUUGCAUGAAGGAGGAAAGCCACUGUGAACUUACUUGAAUGAAGUUAAAAUGAUAAGAGAUUAAAUCAUACUUCAUUUUAAAAAUCUUCCUUCAUCAAGAAGAAAUUCAUAAGAAGGAAUCAUUUUAUCAAAUCCAUUUCUCAAAAAAAUAUUUUUCACAAGGUAAAUCUAUGAGAGAUGCAUUUGUUAAUUGAUUUCAUAUGUCAAAAAUCAAUGAUAUAAAAUAAACUUGAUAUGACAUAGGCUUAUGAAAGCUAU